rnacentral:snRNA from 1 species
AUACUUACCUGGCAGGGGAGAUACCAUCAUCACAAAGGUGGUUUUCCCAGGGCGAGGCUCAUCCAUUGCACUCCGGAUGUACGGACCCCUGAGAUUUCCCCAAAGGAGGGAAACUUGAUUGCAUAAUUUGUAGUAGUGGGGGACUGCGUUUGCGCUUUCCCCUG